GCUAAAACGGACCAAAUAUUUGGACCCGAAGCUCAUGAGUUACAGAUACUCCCAAAGAUCCUAAAUGAAAAGUAACUGUCAUGCGCGAGAAUGACGAGAAUUCCCUUCAAAUACGAUUUUGACGUUGAUGUUAUUUUGUUCCAAACGACAACAAAAUUUACAUUUUCUGUUGUUUCCCAUUUUAAUUGCAGAGUGGGAUGAAACAGAUGAAAUUUGGUAUUAUUAUAUCAACAGCUACAAAAAUAUACAAAAUCUUCUGCAGACCAAUUUUUAAUAUAAACACAUUAUACAGAACUGAACUAGUGCCAAUAAGGAAAAGACUGCAAAAAUUUCCAAGGAAACUUCUAAAGGCUACACAACAUAGAACUAAAGUGACCAUUGAUGCCAAUAUGAUAGAAGUUGUUUAUUAUUAUUAUAUUUAUUUGUAGGUUGAUCAAUUAAUGUGAUUUGAUAAUAUGAAAGAGAAGUUUGUAUGAUGAGAUUGAAUUGAAAGUGCCCUUUUGUUACUAUGAAUAAGUAUUCAAAUUAAAGCUUCUUAUAAUUAUUUUAUGUGAAUUGAGAAAUUUAUUGUUUGUAAUAAUGGAUUGAACUUUAAGAAAUUACAUUAAAAUAUCUAGAAAUCGAUUUUUAAAAGUACUACUAGCUUGUUUCAUAUUAAGAUUAGUUUGACAUUUCACCUUGAUAAUAAUUUCAAACUUUAAAUCAAUGUGUUAUGUGAAGGAUCAGGGCAAGAAAAAGAUUAUUUCAGAUUGUAGCAUCCCUUAUACUAUUAUAUAUAGAUCAUUCAGAAACCACUCAUGAAUCUCAAAAAAGAUUUCUCUUGGGGUUUCAAUACAGAAGGAUUAGGAUAUAAUGCAUAUAAUGGAAAUAUAAUAAAAUCUGUAUCAAAUUCUUUACAGCAUAGAGAAUUUUGGCUGUUCAACACAGUUGAGAAUACACUUUCAUUGAGUUAUGGGAAAUGAAAUCGUAUAAUCAAUACAGGA